rnacentral:rRNA from 1 species
UACAGAGGGUGCGAGCGUUAAUCGGAAUUACUGGGCGUAAAGCGCACGUAGGUGGCGACGUAAGUCGGGUGUGAAAGCCCCGGGCUCAACCUGGGAAUUGCAUUCGAGACUGCAUUGCUGGAGUACGGAAGAGGAAGGCGGAAUUCCCGGUGUAGCGGUGAAAUGUGUAGAGAUCGGGAGGAACACCGGUGGCGAAGGCGGGUCUCUGGGCAAUUCCUGACGCUGAGGCGCGAAAGCGUGGGGAGCAAACGGG